AUUGCUUUUUAGGGUUCCGUAGCCAAAUGGCAAAAAACGGAACCCUUAUAGAUUCGUCAUGUCUGUCUGUCUGUCUGUCUGUCUGUCUGUCUGUCUGUCUGUCUGUCUGUCUGUCUGUCUGUCUGUCUGUCUGUCUGUCUGUCUGUCUGUCUGUCUGUCUGUCUGUCUGUCCGUCCGUAUGUCACAGCCACUUUGUUCCGAAACUAUAAGCACUAUACUGUUGAAACUUGGUAAGUAGAUGUAUUCUGUGAACCGCAUUAAGAUUUUCAUACAAAAAUAGAAAAAAAACAGUAAAUUUUUAGGGUUCCCCAUACAUAGAACUGAAACUCAAAAAUUUUUUUUUCAUCAAACCCAUACGUGUAUCUAUGGAUAGGUCUUCAAAAAUGAUAUUGAGGUUUCUAAUAUCAUUUUCUUCUAAACUGAAUAGUUUGCGCGAGAGACACUUCCAAAGUUACCCCACACGUAUGGGUUUGAUGAAAAAAAUUUUUUGGGUUUCCGAUCUAAGUAUGGGGAACUCCAAAAAUUUUUUGUUUUUUUUUUCUAUUUUUGUGUAAAAAUCUUAAUGCGGCUCACAGAAUACAUCUACUUACCAAGUUUCAAGAGUAUAGUUCUUAUAGUUUCGGAAAAAAGUGGCUGUGACAUACACGGACAGACGGACAGACAUGACGAAUCUAUAAGGGUUCCGUUUUUUGCCAUUUGGCUACGGAACCCUAAAAAGG